rnacentral:tRNA from 1 species
GACGAGGUGGCCGAGUGGUUAAGGCGUUGGACUGCUAAUCCAAUGGAGUCUCCCCGCGUGAGUUCGAAUCUCAUCCUCGUCG